UACGGGGGGGGCAAGCGUUGUUCGGAAUUACUGGGCGUAAAGGGCUCGUAGGUGGCCAAUUAAGUCAGACGUGAAAUCCCCAGGCUCAACCUGGGAACUGCAUCCGAUACUGGAUGGCUUGAAUUCGGGAGAGGGAUGCAGAAUUCCAGGUGUAGCGGUGAAAUGCGUAGAUAUCUGGAGGAAUACCGGUGGCGAAGGCGGCAUCCUGGACCGACAUUGACGCUGAGGAGCGAAAGCUAGGGGAGCAAACGGG
rnacentral:rRNA from 1 species